GAAGUAGGCCGGGCAACCGCAGGAGAAAUCCUGAGGAAAGUCCGAGCUCCACAGAGCAGGGUACUGGGUAACACCCAGGGGAGGCAACUCCCGGAAAGUGCCACAGAAAAAAUACCGCCAUAAAAGGCAAGGGUGAAAAGGCGAGGUAAGAGCUCACCGGACGUCGAGCAAUCGGCGUGCCUGGCAAACCCUACCCGGAGCAAGGCCAAAUAGGAAGGGAUGAGGUGGCUCGCUGACCUUCGGGUUGGCCGCUCGAGGGGGUUAGGUAACUAACCCCCCAGAUAGAUGGUUGUCGUUCCUACGGGAAUACAGAACUCGGCUUAUAGGCCUACUUUCUCC
rnacentral:RNase_P_RNA from 1 species